UGUCGGGUCCCUAUAUAUAGGUCUAAGGUUUUAUUUGAACAUUGAAAUGGUCAUACAAUGCCAAAAAUUCCAAAUCUGGUCUGCUUUGGCAAACAUUGCCAUCAUUGCGGUAAAUGGAUGGAGCGAAGAGCUUUGAGGAAAGAUUGAAUGGUUGGUCUUCAAACUCUAGAAACCAGACGGAAACUGCUGCAUA
rnacentral:lncRNA from 1 species